CCAAAAUUCCACCCUUUGGAUUUGGCCGAAAAUUCCCAAAAACAUGGCACCAAAUUUUAGCUCCAAUAUUCAUGCUCAUAUGAACUACAUCUACAACAUUUGAGAUGGUAAAUUUUCUAACAAAAUUUACAUUCAAAGAAACAAGAAUAAAGCUUGUAACAUAUUACAAUAUUUAAAUCAAAGACUAUGAACUACAAAACCCAAAAGGAUUCACCAAUUACUAGACCUAGGCUCUGAUACCACUUGAAGGAAAUUUUAUUAAAAACAUGUUCAUUUAAGCAACAUCUAUAGCAUGCAAUUAACAAUUAAAAGG
rnacentral:lncRNA from 1 species